GGGGUCAUUUUUGGUUUUGUUUUUCACUGUAUUCAGGAGGUACAAGUCGCUCAGAAUAAUUAACAGCAUGUUCAAACUUGAAUUGUCUCUUCUGAGAAAAUUUGUUUUCUCACUCAGGGAUCAUAGCAGUGUCAGCAAGACAGAGGCUUUCUUACGAAGAACACAUUAACCUUUCUGACAAGUCAUUGCUGCAGCAAUCAGCAAUACUUUUCUGGAGUGUUUCUGACCCUAUCCAGCCUCAGCUACUGUUGGAGUGUCCUGAAGACAUCUACUGCUUUCAGUUCAGCCCAAGCGACCCAAAUGUCAUUGUGGGUGGCUGCAUCAAUGGACAGGUGUUCAUUCUCUGCCUAUGAAUAAAACUGGAUAUUCCUGUAUAUUUCCUUACAUUAUUAAAAUAAGGGUGAAGAGCUGUACCCAGCAUCCCUAGUAACACUUCCUGACACAGUCUCAGAAAUUCUCUGAUCCUGCACUGAAGUUAUGCCUGGAUACUCCACAGCUGAGCCAUUACUGUACGGUCAUUCUUUGUAGUACUGGAACAUACGUCAAGCUGUAGAGACUCUCCUUUUUGUAGCUGUCGAGACAAGUUUAGCCUUUUACUGAUAGCAUGAGAUGGAAGUGGCAACACUUUAAGGACUUCGAUAUUUUAAAGACUUCCUAAGUUCUAGUGUAGAGAGUGAAUUUUCCCCAAGCCUCCAUGAACUGUGUAUCCCGACUCAAACCAGUAGAUAAUCCUUGCAGUGAGAGACUAGAAAGGAUAAGAAACCUGAUGAGUUCAUUAAAUAAACCCAUUAUCACACUA